UCGAACCGCGUUCCCCUUCACCUCCGUCCAGCCCAAUUCGACUCCCCGCCCCGCUGCCCCCUUCCCUCCGGCCUUCGCAGCUUCGUCCGCCGGCGGCCACCGCAGCCGCCCUCCGUCGGAGAUUCGGGAUUCUCCACAGGCUUGCUCAGCUGAUCUCGUGCGGCCAAUCAAAGGGGACACAUUACAGUAGAGUGCAUGGUUAUUUCUAGCAAUGAAGCGCUUUGUCUACAUAAAUGACGAGUCUUACCAGAAUGACUACUGUGAUAACCAGAUUUCUAACACAAAGUAUACCUUAUGGAACUUCCUGCCAAAAAAUCUAUGGGAGCAAUUCAGGCGUUUCAUGAAUCAAUAUUUCUUGUUGAUAGCGUGUCUCCAACUAUGGUCACUCAUUACUCCUGUAAACCCCGCAAGCACAUGGGGCCCACUUAUAAUAAUAUUUGCAGUUUCGGCAACCAAAGAGGCCUGGGAUGACUACAAUAGGUAUAUUUCAGACAAGCAAGCGAAUGAGAAGAAAGUGUGGAUUGUAAAGAAUGGUGCUCGUAAACAUAUUCAAGCACAAGAUAUCCGUGUAGGUAACAUUGUAUGGAUUCGGGAGAAUGAAGAAGUUCCAUGUGACCUUGUUUUAACAGGAACUUCUGAACCACAAGGCAUUUGUCAUGUUGAGACAGCUGCCCUUGAUGGGGAAAUUGACUUGAAGACAAGGGUAAUCCCACCAACGUGUGCAGGACUGGACGCUGAACAGUUGCACAAAAUAAAGGGUGUCAUUGAGUGCCCAAUUCCAGACAAAGACAUAAGAAGAUUCGAUGCAAACAUCAGACUGUUCCCUCCAUUUAUUGACAACGACAUUUGUCCAUUGACUAUUAAUAACACAUUGCUACAAUCAUGCUACUUGAGAAAUACAGAAUGGGCUUGUGGAGUAGCAGUUUAUACAGGCAAUGAGACUAAGUUGGGGAUGAGUAGGGGUGUCCCAGAGCCCAAGCUUACUGCCAUGGAUGCAAUGAUUGAUAAGCUUACCGGUGCAAUAUUCUUAUUCCAACUUGCAGUUGUUGUCGUUCUUGGAUCUGCAGGCAACGUUUGGAAGGACACUGAAGCUCGCAAGCAAUGGUAUGUCAAGUACGACGAUGAUGAACCAUGGUAUCAAAUUUUGGUUAUCCCUCUGCGCUUUGAGCUAUUGUGUUCCAUUAUGAUUCCCAUUUCAAUAAAGGUUUCUUUGGACUUUGUUAAAAGUCUUUAUGCAAAGUUCAUAGAUUGGGAUGAGGAGAUGUACGACAAGGAAACAGAUACACCAGCCCAUGCAGCAAACACAGCAAUCAGUGAAGACUUGGGACAAGUUGAGUAUAUUUUGACAGAUAAAACUGGCACUCUGACUGAAAACAAGAUGAUCUUCAGAAGGUGCUGUAUUGGGGGUACCUUGUAUGGGAAUGAAAGUGGCGACGCGCUUAAAGAUGUCGAACUGCUGAAUGCUGUUGCCAAUAAUUCGCCUCAUGUCAUUAAAUUCUUGACAGUCAUGGCCCUCUGCAAUACAGUUAUUCCUAUCAAAAGUCCUAGCGGGCAAAUAUCAUAUAAAGCUCAGUCCCAGGAUGAGGAUGCUCUUGUAAAUGCAGCCUCUAAUUUGCAUAUGGUCCUUGUCAGCAAGAAUGGAAAUAACGCUGAAAUUCACUUCAACAGACGGGUUGUUCAAUAUGAGAUACUUGACGUUCUAGAAUUCACCUCUGACCGGAAAAGAAUGUCUGUUCUGAUAUCGGAUAGUGAAAGUGGCAAGAUUUUCCUCUUGUCUAAAGGUGCAGAUGAGGCUAUUCUUCCUUUGGCUUAUUCUGGACAGCAAAUAAAGACAUUUAUUGACGCGGUCGACAAAUAUGCUCAGCUGGGAUUACGCACACUCUGUUUGGCAUGGCGUGAGCUUGGCUUGCAGGAGUAUCUAGAAUGGUCUCGGUUAUUUAAGGAAGCCAACAGCGCAUUGAUUGACAGAGAGUGGAAAGUUGCUGAGGUUUGCCAGAAAUUAGAGCACACCCUGGAUAUUCUAGGUAUCAGUGCUAUAGAGGAUCGCCUCCAGGCUGGUGUUCCAGAAACUAUUGAAAUACUGAGACAGUCAGGAAUCAACUUUUGGAUGUUAACUGGAGAUAAACAAAGCACUGCUAUUCAAAUAGCUCUUUUGUGCAACUUGAUUUCUUCAGAGCCCAAGGGUCAACUCUUGUAUAUCAAUGGGAAAACUGAAGAUGAAGUUGCUAGGAGCUUGGAAAGAGUUCUACUCACUAUGAGGAUAACUUCUUCUGAACCCAAGGAACAGGAGUUAGCUUUUGUCGUGGAUGGUUGGGCUCUUGAAAUUAUUCUAACACGCUAUAAGGAAGCUUUUACUGAACUAGCAGUUCUUUCAAAGACAGCAAUCUGCUGUCGUGUUACACCUUCACAGAAAGCACAGCUCGUCAAGCUUCUAAAGUCAUGUGACUAUCGAACUUUGGCAAUUGGUGACGGUGGGAAUGAUGUCAGGAUGAUACAACAGGCUCACAUUGGUGUAGGAAUUAGUGGUAGAGAAGGUCUUCAAGCAGCAAGGGCGGCUGACUAUAGCAUUGGCAAAUUCAGGUUUCUGAAAAGGCUUAUUCUUGUCCACGGGCGAUACUCAUACAACCGUACUGCCUUUCUUUCGCAGUAUUCGUUCUACAAGUCAUUGUUAAUUUGCUUUAUUCAGAUACUGUUUUCUUUUGUUUCGGGUAUUGCUGGAACAAGUUUGUUCAACUCAGUCAGUUUGAUGGCUUAUAAUGUCUUCUACACAAGCAUUCCUGUUUUAACUACUGUUCUGGACAAGGAUUUAUCUGAAAGGACAGUGACACAGAACCCAGAGAUUUUACUUUACUGCCAGGCUGGAAGGCUUUUGAAUCCAAGUACUUUUGCUGGUUGGUUUGGCCGAUCAUUGUAUCAUGCAAUUGUUGUUUUCUUAAUCACCAUUCAUGUUUAUGCCAAUGAAAAAAGUGAGAUGGAGGAGUUGUCAAUGGUUGCCCUCUCAGGAAGUAUUUGGUUGCAGGCAUUUGUUGUGACAUUGGAGAUGAAUUCUUUCACAUUUGUGCAGUUUCUGGGAAUAUGGGGAAAUUUUGCUGCUUUCUACAUCAUAAAUUUCGGUAUCAGCAGCAUACCAUCUGCUGGGAUGUACACUAUCAUGUUCCGUCUUUGCAGACAACCAUCCUACUGGAUAACGAUGCUGCUAAUCAGUGGAGUUGGCAUGGGUCCUGUAUUAGCUCUGAAAUAUUUCAGAUAUACAUACAGUCCUAGUGCCAUUAACAUUCUUCAGAAGGCCGAGCGAUCGCGUGGGCCAAUGUACACCCUGGUACACUUAUGAUGUUUCUUAGUGCUUGUACCUACGCAUAGAAAACAGAAAACCCACCUCUAUGACUGUAAUAUCAAGGGGCAGUAGAUUUUUCUCACGAAGCAUGACUGGCCAACUGGGGGGCAGAACGUACCGUGCCCCUGCCUCCCUCGCAGUCAAAACUCUCCUCUCGUCAGCUAUAGUAACUGGUCAGUCGUCCCUAUCCCUAAAUUUACAUAGACCAUCUCCCCUUCCCGCCGUCCCUGUCAACUACGAUACAAAGCUAGUAAGCAACCGAUCGGCAAAAGACAACCGGUCUUGUUGUACACAAUUGCUGUUGGAAUGCUUCUACAUGCAUGGACGGACGGACGUAUGCAGCGUGGCCGAUACGUGACACAACCCAGCAAGGGUAAGCCUGGCGACCAGAACCGAUGAGGGUAAGCCCAGCAAGGGUUGGAUUACGUGACACGAUUGCUGCACCAGCUAAUACAUUUUGUGUUGGUAGAUCGACCUAUGGAUUAAUAUGACCUUGUCUGCGUACGGAGUACACGGCAAUCAAUACGAGUGAUGUAGAUCACCGAUAAUUUUGGAGGCCAUCAUCGCGUAAGUACAUGUUAUGUUGCCAGCCUGGGCCACAUACUUUAUUGUUCCUCAAUCCUCGUCCAUGUUCUCUUUAAUUUCGUUUUUGAGGGUACUAUGAAUCGAGGCAGAUAUUUCGGAGGAAGGAUACAAAUGAUGUAAUUUAAGACCAUGCUUCCGAUCUGUCACCCGGAACAGCAUAGCAAUAAAUGCCUUCUGUUCGAUCGUGGCGUGAUUCA